rnacentral:rRNA from 1 species
ACCUGUGAACCCACCGUAGGCCUUCGGGCUUAUGUAUCAUAUACUCUGAAUGUGUCAUAGAAUGUUCAUGUUGCCUUAAAACGCAAUCAAAUACAACUUUCAACAACGGAUCUCUUGGCUCUCGCAUCGAUGAAGAACGCAGCGAAAUGCGAUAAGUAAUGUGAAUUGCAGAUUUUCAGUGAAUCAUCGAAUCUUUGAACGCACCUUGCGCUCCUUGGUAUUCCGAGGAGCAUGCCUGUUUGAGUGUCAUUAAAUUCUCAACCCCACCGAUUUGCUUUGGGGGGAUUGGACUUGGAGCGUGCUGGCGAAGGUCGGCUCCUCUUUAAAUGCAUCAGUGGAGAGAAACUCGCCCCAGUGUGAUAAUCCUGUUGCGCUGUGGUGGGCGAAAGUCUGCUUCCAACCGUCCUCCGGGACAUACACGAUCUUAUUUUGACCUCAAAUCAGGUAGGACUACCCGCUGAACUUAAGCAUAUCAAUGG